rnacentral:piRNA from 1 species
UAUUGCCCAGACGCUUGCAGGACUAGAA